rnacentral:rRNA from 1 species
AGCUUGACACUGAACAUUGAGCCUUGAUGUGUAGGAUAGGUGGGAGGCUUUGAAGUGUGGACGCCAGUCUGCAUGGAGCCGACCUUGAAAUACCACCCUUUAAUGUUUGAUGUUCUAACGUUGACCCGUAAUCCGGGUUGCGGACAGUGUCUGGUGGGUAGUUUGACUGGGGCGGUCUCCUCCUAAAGAGUAACGGAGGAGCACGAAGGUUGGCUAAUCCUGGUCGGACAUCAGGAGGUUAGUGCAAUGGCAUAAGCCAGC